GACGAACGCUGGCGGCGUGCUUAACACAUGCAAGUCGAACGGAAAGGCACUGAGUUUUUGGGGUGCUCGGGUGCCGAACGCGUGCGGAACACGUGAGUAACCUGCCCUUGACUUUGGGGUAACUUCAGGAAACUGGGGCUAAUAUCGUAUCGGAGCUCCUCCUCCGUGGUGGGGGUUGGAAAGUUUCAGCGGUUGUGGAUGGACGAGCGGAUUAUCAGCUUGUUGGUGGGGUAGUGGCUUACCAAGGCUUUGACGGGUAGCCGGCCUGGGAGCGUGAACGGGCACAUGGGGACUGAGAGACGCACCAGAGGCGUAUGGGGGACAGCAGGGGGAAACAUGGCACAAUGGGCCGAAGCCUGAUGCAGCAACGUCGGGUUCGGGAUGACGGUUUUCGGGUUGUAAACCGCUUCCGCUUGUGACGACGCGUGAGUGACGGUAAUGGGUAAAGAAGCACCGGCUAACUACGUG
rnacentral:rRNA from 1 species